GACGAACGCUGGCGGCGUGCUUAACACAUGCAAGUCGAACGAAGAGCGAUGGAAGCUUGCUUCUAUCAAUCUUAGUGGCGAACGGGUGAGUAACGCGUAAUCAACCCGCCCUUCAGAGGGGGACAACAGUUGGAAACGACUGCUAAUACCGCAUACGAUCUAAUCUCGGCAUCGAGGAUAGAUGAAAGGUGGCCUCUACAUGUAAGCUAUCACUGAAGGAGGGGAUUGCGUCUGAUUAGCUAGUUGGAGGGGUAACGGCCCACCAAGGCGAUGAUCAGUAGCCGGUCUGAGAGGAUGAACGGCCACAUUGGGACUGAGACACGGCCCAGACUCCUACGGGAGGCAGCAGUGGGGAAUCUUCCGCAAUGGACGAAAGUCUAACGGAGCAACGCCGCGUGAGCGAUGACGGCCUUCGGGUUGUAAAGCUCUGUUAAUCGGGACGAAAGGCCUUCUUGCGAAUAGUGAGAAGGAUUGACGGUACCGGAAUAGAAAGCCACGGCUAACUACGUG
rnacentral:rRNA from 1 species